ensembl:processed_transcript 4933439C10Rik RIKEN cDNA 4933439C10 gene
UGGAACCCUCAUGCGGAGCCUGGAAUAGGGACUAAUAGAUUGGGUUCGGGAAUCAGAACACCUGUGUUAAAUCAUACCCAUCUAAGCGCAGUCAGGUGAUCUAAGGCCUGCGUGACCUCUCUGUGCGUCAGGGAUCACACUUGGAUGCGUGUGUAAGCUGUGCUGUAGCUAGUUCAGGUACUGAAUCUUUAGAACUUGCUGGAACUCGUUGCCUUGGUCUAUUUUGGCAGCAUGGCAUAAAACCAGGAAUGAUGAUGCACACCUGUAACCUCAUUACUCCUAGACUGGGGGCUGGAGGGUCAGGUGUUGGAGGUCACGGUCUCCUGUAUAGGGGUCAGCUUGAGUCUGGGGUCAGCUUGAAUGACAUGAUACCCGGUCUGAAAAUAAAGAUGCAAAUUGAUGAGAUGUGGAGCAACAUUUUCAUGCACGCAUGCAGUUGAGUAAUCCCGCGUAUACCCACCUCCCCACAUCCUUCCCGGCCCCCAGGAAGCUCCAGCAGACUUACAGACUGACUAUUGUUUUGAGAUUAGGGUCUCACUGUGUAGCCCUGACUGGCUUGGAAUUCACAGAUCUGCUUGCUUCUGCCUCCUGAGCUGUGGGAUUAAAAGCAUGUGCCACCAUA